rnacentral:rRNA from 1 species
UACGAAGGGGGCUAGCGUUGCUCGGAAUCACUGGGCGUAAAGCGCACGUAGGCGGACUCUUAAGUCGGUGGUGAAAUCCUGGAGCUCAACUCCAGAACUGCCUUCGAUACUGAGAGUCUCGAGUCCGGGAGAGGUGAGUGGAACUGCGAGUGUAGAGGUGAAAUGCGUAGAUAUUGGGAGGAACACCAGUGGCGAAGGCGGCUCACUGGACCGGUACUGACGCUGAUGCGCGAAAGCGUGGGGAGCAAACGGG